UUUUCAGCUUCUUUCGUCUGUUCUCAGAGUUCUCUCUGCCCAUGGCCGAAUCACUUUGGCUAGAUCUUUAGCUGAUAAAUACCAUAUCUGGUAUUUUAUGAACUCAUCCUCGUUUUCAGUUCUUAAAUUUCAAGUUUAACGAUAACCUGUCAGGGGAUUUUAGCUAUCGCGGGUGUGAAUCUUCAAUGAGCUAAGUUGAUCUAUCCCUUUACUAAUUUCAUACAUUGUACUUAGCAUAUAUUUUUUCAUUUGUAUAGUUUUUAAGGUCUUUGUUAUACACGUCAUUUAUAAGUUGUAAGAACGAUUAUUUCAAUUAGGGUUUUUCUAAAUUCAUGAAGUUGUUCGUUAUUUAGCGUAAUCUAUGAAAUAUUCUGCAAUUAAAAUAAUUUUUAUUUAGUUUUAUAGCUAAAUACUGAACAUGCAACAGAUUAAAAUCCGAUCUGAUAUUUGUUUCGUAAUUAUUUUGUACACAUCAAGUAAUUUAUUUACAUUUUUGUUUCCAGCAUGGCAAAUAAGAUAUAUAUACAUGAUACAAUGGACGAUGACUUAGCAAAAAGAUGUAUAUAAGUACUAAUACAAAAAAAAAAAAAUCACCGCAGUUUUACAAACUUUUGUUGGCAAUGAUCCGGUGUCCUCUUGCUGCCUAUAAUUGUAGAACCUAUGAUUAGUCUUAUAUCUUUGAUUUGACUGCAGAAAAAAUUCAAAUUUCUGAUUGUACAAUGAUAAAGUUGUAAUUUCCAGUUAUAUGCUGAAUAUGAUAAACUUUCAUUAUUUAAUUAAAAACUUCUUAUACUGUUCAAUCUUAUCAGUUUCAAGCCUUUAAUUGGGAAAGUUGGAGAAGCCAGUUGUAUCUUGAGCUUACUGCAUACCUGAAUUAUUACACCUAACUAACUGGAUACAAUUGCGCACAUCUCAGGGUUUCCAUAGGUUCUGACCAACCGACCUUUGAUUGCUCUUCUUGUGUGGAGAUGGCUAUCUGACUUGCAAGAAGUCAUUUCGGAUAAAAUUCACAAAAUUCUUUCCGCACCUUUCAUUAAGUGUGAUUGUACAUGUAUUUAUAAUGAUUUCAGUCUGUAUAUUUAGUUCAAAUCCUAUUUGAAGAGAAGACAUUAAUUGUUUGUUA